AUGGAUGGUUUUGGGCUUUCUUUUACGGAGGGCCUGGUUCUGGAGAUAUGGUGUGCAGUGCAUGAUCAGAGAGGGAUCGAUGUUUCGUAUGCUGACUUUCAACGAUUGUGUGAGUAUGGGAGAACUGAGGGGUUUUUCCUUGUGGUUGAAGCGAUUUUUUCGCAGUCGGUUUGGGAGGCUUUAGGCAAUUCCCUGAUCGAGUCUCUGCUGGUCGGUUAUCAAACCCGGGUGCUCCGGAUGCUCGGGAUCUGGCGGAGGUGCGGCUUUCUGAGGUCGGGUCCUGAGGUCGGCUCCCCUGGGAUCGCUGGGGCCCCCAGCAGGUUGAACGGGGCCGCCGCGGGAUCGGUGGGCGUGACCCUGCCUCGGCCGGCGCCGUGGCGGUGUAAGCCUGAGGUGGCCUUGGGGUCUUGCCAGCAGGCUGUCGGGGGCGCCAUGGACCCGGGGGGUGUAACGCCGCCUCAGCCCGCGCCCCGGCGAUGUAGGCCCGGGGCGGGGUUGGAUCCCCGCCAGCAGGCUGUCCGGGGUGCCGCGGACCCGAGGGGUGUAACACCGCCCCAGCCCACACCCCGGCGGUGGAAGCCCGGGGUGGGGUCACCUCUUCCGUUUGCCCUCCCAGCACAGACCGAGGGGGGGGUGCUUGAACGGGGGGCGGCGCUGCCUCUGUCUGGGGGAUGCCUCAGGGUCUAUCCCAUGUCCCUGCUGCGGCUGGGCCGUGCCUUGCCCCGUGGUGGGGGACGGGCCGGGCCCAGGCCCCACUCCGGCAGCCACGCACGCUGUUCCCCUGUAGGAGCAGCUGGCACCACUCCUUGGACCUUUCGCCCCUGGAGAAACGUUGUUAGGGGCGGUUCUCAGCGCUGCCCCACCCCGUGCCGGGAGCGGGCUGUGCUGAACUGCCUCCAGCCCCCCCCCGCCUCAGGUUCCCGGGCAUCGCCUGAGCCUGCAGCUGGGGCCGGCCCUCCCCUGUCGCCUCCUGCGGCUGUGGCAGACCAAGGUCCUGAGCUGUUUACCACUGGCUCGGGUGGUGAUGCCGCGGGGACGGAGCCAGUGGCCUUGACGUGCCAGGGGUCCCAGGCUGCUGGAGCCUCUUCAGCUGGCCUGUGGACUUUGUCCUCCUGUAAAAUGACUGUGCAGCUGAGCGUAUCAGGCAUUCCAUGUGCUUCCAAAUGCUUUGAUCUGUUGGGUGAGGGCUUGAGUGCUCUUCUUGUGGUGUGGUUGAAUGUCACUGCCCAAGGCACCAUUGCUCACCUAGGGGACACUGAUUCAGAAUUCCUGGGGUGCAUUUCUGCCAUGGGUUCCACACUCAUGCCUCCUGUUCCUAUCCCUGUGGGACCUGGAUUUGCUCACCUUGUGCCUUUUGAGUUUUAUGUUUGCAGAGCUGAGACCCAGCUGCAGGGAGAUGGUGGCUUCGGGUUCCCUGGACCUCCUUGGGUUCACGGACUGCUGUUCUGA
rnacentral:lncRNA from 1 species